AAAUGAAUAGACGGGGACCCGCACAAGCGGUGGAUGAUGUGGAUUAAUUCGAUGCAACGCGAAAAACCUUACCUACCCUUGACAUGCCAGGGAUUCUGUCGAGAGGCGGAAGUGCCCGCAAGGGAACCUGGACACAGGUGCUGCAUGGCUGUCGUCAGCUCGUGUCGUGAGAUGUUGGGUUAAGUCCCGCAACGAGCGCAACCCUUGUCAUUAAUUGCCAUCAUUAAGUUGGGCACUUUAAUGAGACUGCCGGUGACAAGCCGGAGGAAGGUGGGGAUGACGUCAAGUCCUCAUGGCCCUUAUGGGUAGGGCUUCACACGUCAUACAAUGGUCGGUCCAGAGGGUCGCAAAGCCGCGAGGCGGAGCCAAUCCCAGAAAGCCGAUCGUAGUCCGGAUUGCAGUCUGCAACUCGACUGCAUGAAGUCGGAAUCGCUAGUAAUCGCGGAUCAGCAUGUCGCGGUGAAUACGUUCCCGGGUCUUGUACACACCGCCCGU
rnacentral:rRNA from 1 species